rnacentral:rRNA from 1 species
CCUACGGGAGGCAGCAGUGAGGAAUAUUGGUCAAUGGACGAGAGUCUGAACCAGCCAAGUAGCGUGAAGGAUGACUGCCCUAUGGGUUGUAAACUUCUUUUAUAUGGGAAUAAAACGUUCCACGUGUGGGAUUUUGUAUGUACCAUAUGAAUAAGGAUCGGCUAACUCCGUGCCAGCAGCCGCGGUAAUACGGAGGAUCCGAGCGUUAUCCGGAUUUAUUGGGUUUAAAGGGAGCGUAGGUGGAUUGUUAAGUCAGUUGUGAAAGUUUGCGGCUCAACCGUAAAAUUGCAGUUGAAACUGGCAGUCUUGAGUACAGUAGAGGUGGGCGGAAUUCGUGGUGUAGCGGUGAAAUGCUUAGAUAUCACGAAGAACUCCGAGUGCGAAGGCAGCUCACUGGACUGCAACUGACACUGAGGCUCGAAAGUGUGGGGAUCAAACAGGAUUAGAUACCCCAGUAGUC